rnacentral:rRNA from 1 species
AGCCAGACUCCUACGGGAGGCAGCAGUGGGGAAUAUUGCACAAUGGGGGGAACCCUGAUGCAGCGACGCCGCGUGGGUGAAGGAGCACCUCGGUGCGUAAAGCCCUAUCGGCAGGGAAGAAACAGACGGUACCUGACUAAGAAGCCCCGGCUAACUACGUGCCAGCAGCCGCGGUAAUACGUAGGGGGCAAGCGUUAUCCGGAUUCACUGGGUGUAAAGGGAGCGUAGACGGCCAUGCAAGCCUGGAGUGAAAGCCCGGGGCCCAACCCCGGGACUGCUCUGGGAACUGUGCGGCUGGAGUGCGGGAGGGGCAGGCGGAAUUCCUGGUGUAGCGGUGAAAUGCGUAGAUAUCAGGAGGAACACCGGCGGCGAAGGCGGCCUGCUGGACCGCGACUGACGUUGAGGCUCGAAAGCGUGGGGAGCAACCAGGAUUAGAUACCCCAGUA